GAUGAAGAACGCAGCGAAAUGCGAUACGUAAUGUGAAUUGCAGAAUUCAGUGAAUCAUCGAAUCUUUGAACGCACAUUGCGCCCCCUGGAAUUCCGGGGGGCAUGCCUGUUCGAGCGUCUCAGGGACGAACCCUCGCGCGGGUGUACGCGCGGUCGUGGCUGCGGUGGCGUGCCCGAGGCGGCGGCCACCGCGCUGGAAUCCAUGGGCGGACGCCUGCCGCGUGGCCGAGCGUGAUAUGACGCAUUGGCGCUCGCACGCGGAGAGGCUGCCAGCCCUGGCCCGUCUGUCGGGCGGGGGAGAGCAAGACACGUGAACUCCUCGAAUCAGGUAGGGAUACCCGCUGAACUUAAGCAUAUCAAUAAGCGGAGGA
rnacentral:misc_RNA from 1 species